ACCUUCUUGUAUAAGCACUGUGCUAAAAUUGCAGAAACUAGGAUUAUGUCUUGGUUUUUGUAAUAAUGCUAGCAGACUGCACACAAGAAGAAGAGUAAUUAACUGCUCUGGGUUCCAAAAACUGGGUGGACCUCUUUCCUAAGGUCCAGUGUCCUUUGUCAUAAGAUUCGGGGCAAUAAGU
rnacentral:snoRNA from 14 species